rnacentral:rRNA from 1 species
CCUACGGGUGGCUGCAGUGAGGAAUAUUGGUCAAUGGGCGCGAGCCUGAACCAGCCAAGUAGCGUGAAGGAUGACUGCCCUAAGUGUUGUAAACUUCUUUUAUAAAAGAAUAAAGUGAGGCCCGUGUGCCUUUUUGUAAGUAUUUUAUGAAUAAGGAUCGGCUAACUCCGUGCCAGCAGCCGCGGUAUUACGGCGGAUCCGAGCGUUAUCCGGAUUUAUUGGGUUUAAAGGGAGCGUAGAUUGGUUGUUAAGUCAGUUGUGAAAGUUUGCGGCUCAACCGUAAAAUUGCAAUUGAUACUGGCAGCUUUGAGUACAGUUGAGGUAGGCGGAAUACGUGGUGUAGCGGUGAAAUGCUUAGAUAUCACGUAGAACUCCGAUUGCGAAGGCAGCCUACUAAACUGCCACUGACAUUGAUGCUCGAAAGUGUGGGUAUCAAACAGGAUGAGAUACCCUAGUAGUG